AGUGAACGCUGGCGGUAGGCCUAACACAUGCAAGUCGAACGGCAGCACAGUAAGAGCUUGCUCUUACGGGUGGCGAGUGGCGGACGGGUGAGGGAUACAUCGGAAUCUACUUUUUCGUGGGGGAUAACGUAGGGAAUCUUACGCUAAUACCGCAUACGACCUACGGGUGAAAGCAGGGGAUCUUCGGACCUUGCGCGAUUGAAUGAGCCGAUGUCGGAUUAGCUAGUUGGCGGGGUAAAGGCCCACCAAGGCGACGAUCCGUAGCUGGUCUGAGAGGAUGAUCAGCCACACUGGAACUGAGACACGGUCCAGACUCCUACGGGAGGCAGCAGUGGGGAAUAUUGGACAAUGGGCGCAAGCCUGAUCCAGCCAUACCGCGUGGGUGAAGAAGGCCUUCGGGUUGUAAAGCCCUUUUGUUGGGAAAGAAAAGCAGCAGGUUAAUACCCCGCUGUUCUGACGGUACCUAAAGAAUAAGCACCGGCUAACUUCGUG
rnacentral:rRNA from 1 species